AGAGUUUGAUCCUGGCUCAGGACGAACGCUGGCGGCGUGCCUAAUACAUGCAAGUAGAACGCUGAAGAGAGGAGCUUGCUCUUCUUGGAUGAGUUGCGAACGGGUGAGUAACGCGUAGGUAACCUGCCUUGUAGCGGGGGAUAACUAUUGGAAACGAUAGCUAAUACCGCAUAACAAUGGAUGACACAUGUCAUUUAUUUGAAAGGGGCAAUUGCUCCACUACAAGAUGGACCUGCGUUGUAUUAGCUAGUAGGUGAGGUAAUGGCUCACCUAGGCGACGAUACAUAGCCGACCUGAGAGGGUGAUCGGCCACACUGGGACUGAGACACGGCCCAGACUCCUACGGGAGGCAGCAGUAGGGAAUCUUCGGCAAUGGGGGCAACCCUGACCGAGCAACGCCGCGUGAGUGAAGAAGGUUUUCGGAUCGUAAAGCUCUGUUGUAAGUCAAGAACGGGUGUGAGAGUGGAAAGUUCACACUGUGACGGUAGCUUACCAGAAAGGGACGGCUAACUACGUGCCAGCAGCCGCGGUAAUACGUAGGUCCCGAGCGUUGUCCGGAUUUAUUGGGCGUAAAGCGAGCGCAGGCGGUUUGAUAAGUCUGAAGUUAAAGGCUGUGGCUCAACCAUAGUUCGCUUUGGAAACUGUCAAACUUGAGUGCAGAAGGGGAGAGUGGAAUUCCAUGUGUAGCGGUGAAAUGCGUAGAUAUAUGGAGGAACACCGGUGGCGAAAGCGGCUCUCUGGUCUGUAACUGACGCUGAGGCUCGAAAGCGUGGGGAGCGAACAGGAUUAGAUACCCUGGUAGUCCACGCCGUAAACGAUGAGUGCUAGGUGUUGGAUCCUUUCCGGGAUUCAGUGCCGCAGCUAACGCAUUAAGCACUCCGCCUGGGGAGUACGACCGCAAGGUUGAAACUCAAAGGAAUUGACGGGGGCCCGCACAAGCGGUGGAGCAUGUGGUUUAAUUCGAAGCAACGCGAAGAACCUUACCAGGUCUUGACAUCCCGAUGCUAUUUCUAGAGAUAGAAAGUUACUUCGGUACAUCGGUGACAGGUGGUGCAUGGUUGUCGUCAGCUCGUGUCGUGAGAUGUUGGGUUAAGUCCCGCAACGAGCGCAACCCCUAUUGUUAGUUGCCAUCAUUCAGUUGGGCACUCUAGCGAGACUGCCGGUAAUAAACCGGAUGAAGGUGGGGAUGACGUCAAAUCAUCACGCCCCUUAUGACCUGGGCUACACACGUGCUACAAUGGUUGGUACAACGAGUUGCGAGUCGGUGACGGCGAGCUAAUCUCUUAAAGCCAAUCUCAGUUCGGAUUGUAGGCUGCAACUCGCCUACAUGAAGUCGGAAUCGCUAGUAAUCGCGGAUCAGCACGCCGCGGUGAAUACGUUCCCGGGCCUUGUACACACCGCCCGUCACACUACGAGAGUUUGUAACACCCGAAGUCGGUGAGGUAACCUUUUGGAGCCAGCCGCCUAAGGUGGGACAGAUGAUUGGGGUGAAGUCGUAACAAGGUA
rnacentral:rRNA from 1 species